rnacentral:tRNA from 1 species
GUGGCAAUAGCUCAGUGGUAGGGCCCGCUUCGCGUGUGGGAAACCCGGGUUCGAUUCUCGGUUGCUUCC